GCAUGGCAAGAUGGGGUUUAGAACGUGCUUUGAGUGUUCUUUUAUUCUGCACUUUCUGAUUCUCUUUGUAAUAACAUUAGAGUCAAACCACAUGAGUUAAUAAAGGGUAACCCCACAGACUUUAAUGGAAGAUGACGUUUCAGUGAGUCUAUUUUUCCUGUAAUGCAGCAAAUGGGGUUUAGGUAAGCUCAUGUGAUUGUAUGUUCCAGUAUUUCUUUCAGGUCUCUUCAUGCUUGUGGCUGUGUAUUCAAGUUUUUCAAUCAAGAACAGCUGAUCCUGUUACUAACACUUGCUCAGUAAUGGAGCCUGCUUGUCUCCUUCUGUGACCAAGACAUUUUCUUCAGUGCAGCUGUAGUUAUGAAGACCCUGCAGAGCUGAGUGUGGCAUCCUGGUUUGACAGCUGGGCAGACUGCAAUACUUGCAGACGAAAACAAAUGGUAACAUUUCACACAGAUGCUCAGGGAUAUAGCAUAACUCCUGUUUUUCUCACAGAAAAUGCUUCAAGAUCAGAGUGUGAUGCAAAAUCCUUUGGAGGAAAUGUGAAGAACCCUCUUGAUCCUGGACAAGUA